CCUGCGUGGCCGAGGGCGAGCCGGCCACCAGGACGCGCCGGCGACGACGCAGGCCAUGGAGGGAUUUGGCUGUCAUCGUCCUCCACGCGCAGCUCGCGCAACGGGGAUCCCUCCUUCCCGUAGUCCUCCACCUGGAUGUUCCGCCGCGGCAAUACUCCGAUGUGCUGCGUCUGGCGGUCUCCCCCGACGACCUCGCCGGGAACAAGUCCGCCCCCGUGUGGCCGACCUGAGCCCACAAGAAUCGACGCUGCUAUGUGGUGUGGUGGAGGUAGAGUGGCCCUUUGGUCCUGGAGGAUGGGAAGACGAGGUGCACGUUCUACAUACUGACCCAUUAGGGCCCCAAGUUAAGUGCUCUAGUGGCUGUGAGAUACGGACCUGGGUCCACAAGAACCAACACUGCUAUGUGGCGUGGUGGAGGUAGGGCGCUCCCGACCUUUGGUGCUGGAGGAUGGGAAGACGAUGCAUGCAGAUAUAUCGGGCUUGGUCAAGAAUCGACACUGCUAAGGGAAACUUGAAGAAGAUGUUGGCCAAGGCUGAAUCCGAACUCUCAGCAACCGUGUAUUUUUUUUGACGAUAGUGUUCUUCUUUGGUUACAACCAUACUGGCAUCAUCAAGCACACCAUGCAGAUCAUCUGUCGAGCACCAGGAUGACGACUUGGAGGAUUUGCAUCACUCCCGUAGGAAGCUUUCCAGGCGUAGUUAUGUUCAUGGUUAGACCUGAAUACAUUCUUUAUGCCUUUGAACAUGCUGCUUAUUACGAGAAGGCUAAGAAGAAGAUCAACCGUCAAGUUGCUCCUCUGGGGGCACAUCUUCUUCUAGGGGCUUACUUGGUGGAAUGCCUGGUGGAGUAUUUCUGUUUUUGCUUGUUCGAAAUGAUGUGCUACUGCUUCUUAUUAUCUCGAAAGAUUGGUAUCUGCACCUAAGUGGUUUGUUUGUGAGAUGGAAACCGUUGCUAUCUCUAGUCAAAAUUCCCUGCUAUAAUAUAAGAAAGAAAUUUAGAGUCAGGCCAUGAGUAGGCUUUAGUCUGACCUCCAAACAAACAAAUGAAGGAAGUGAUUUCCAUCACCUCUUGUGGUAAGAAGGCAAUGCAAACAUUCUUUGUGAUCUGGCCUGAGUAGGUUUGAAGCAUGAUGUGUGAAACUAGUGUUGAUUUGGUUGAUCUGUCUCUGUUUCCUGACCUGAAUGUUUUGGCUUUAUCAAAUCAAUGCAGGUGGUGGACGGAGGACGUGCCGGCGACCGAACCUUGUGUUUAGUCCGGUGGUGGAAGGUAUCUGCUGGGACACGGAGUUGGAGUGACUUGUCGUUGUUGGGGAUGGUGAGUCGCCGGCGAGGACGACAUGGCCAGGCCAUGUGCUGUGUCUAAUCUUUGUCUGAUUUAGUCGGGCGUCCAUCUCUAGGCUGUUGCGCGGCUGCUUGUUUGUCAUCCGGUGAGACCUCUCAUCAUCAAACACACCAUGCCGAUCAUGUGCCCUGCAGGGGAAGGCGGCAUGGUUGCCAGUGAGGACGACAUGUCCAGGGUAUGGUGCCGUGGCUCAUCUUUGGCUGGUUCAGUCUGGCGUCCAUGUGGGGGAUGUUGUGCUGCUGCUGCUUGUUCGUGUAUUUGAAAUAAUGUUUUGAACGGUUGUAAUAUAGUUGACAUGCUGAGAAAGCUUGCCACAAAGCUGUGUAUGUGUUGUGCGUGCUGUCAGUUGAUGGUAUCCUUUUGUCGACGUGUGGUGUGGUCUGGCUGUCUCGACAGCAGCAGCUGGUGCGUCUUUCUAUGUGAAAAAAAAUGCUUCAGUUGCUGUAAUAUUGGUGUAUUGUAAUGCUCCGGUCGAGAAGCUAUGUGGAAAAAAAUACGCUUU